rnacentral:rRNA from 1 species
CCUACGGGGGGCAGCAGUAGGGAAUCUUCCGCAAUGGACGAAAGUCUGACGGAGCAACGCCGCGUGAGCGAAGAAGGUCUUCGGAUCGUAAAGCUCUGUUGUUAGGGAAGAACAAGUACGGGAGGAAAUGACCGUACCUUGACGGUACCUAACGAGGAAGCCACGGCUAACUACGUGCCAGCAGCCGCGGUAAUACGUAGGUGGCAAGCGUUGUCCGGAAUUAUUGGGCGUAAAGCGCGCGCAGGCGGUCUUUUAAGUCUGAUGUGAAAUCUUGCGGCUCAACCGCAAGCGGCCAUUGGAAAAUGGGGGGCUUGGGGGGAGGAGGGGAAAGGGGAAUUCCAGGGGGAGGGGUGAAAUGCGUAGAGAUGUGGAGGAACACCAGUGGCGAAGGCGGCUUUCUGGUCUGUAACUGACGCUGAGGCGCGAAAGCGUGGGGAGCAAACAGGAUUAGAUACCCUUGUAGUC